ACGGAGCUUGCUCUGGUGGCGAGUGGCGAACGGGUGAGUAAUAUAUCGGAACGUACCCUAGAGUGGGGGAUAACGUAGCGAAAGUUACGCUAAUACCGCAUACGAUCUAAGGAUGAAAGUGGGGGAUCGCAAGACCUCAUGCUCGUGGAGCGGCCGAUAUCUGAUUAGCUAGUUGGUAGGGUAAAAGCCUACCAAGGCAUCGAUCAGUAGCUGGUCUGAGAGGACGACCAGCCACACUGGAACUGAGACACGGUCCAGACUCCUACGGGAGGCAGCAGUGGGGAAUUUUGGACAAUGGGCGAAAGCCUGAUCCAGCAAUGCCGCGUGAGUGAAGAAGGCCUUCGGGUUGUAAAGCUCUUUUGUCAGGGAAGAAACGGUGAGAGCUAAUAUCUCUUGCUAAUGACGGUACCUGAAGAAUAAGCACCGGCUAACUACGUGCCAGCAGCCGCGGUAAUACGUAGGGUGCAAGCGUUAAUCGGAAUUACUGGGCGUAAAGCGUGCGCAGGCGGUUUUGUAAGUCUGAUGUGAAAUCCCCGGGCUCAACCUGGGAAUUGCAUUGGAGACUGCAAGGCUAGAAUCUGGCAGAGGGGGGUAGAAUUCCACGUGUAGCAGUGAAAUGCGUAGAUAUGUGGAGGAACACCGAUGGCGAAGGCAGCCCCCUGGGUCAAGAUUGACGCUCAUGCACGAAAGCGUGGGGAGCAAACAGGAUUAGAUACCCUGGUAGUCCACGCCCUAAACGAUGUCUACUAGUUGUCGGGUCUUAAUUGACUUGGUAACGCAGCUAACGCGUGAAGUAGACCGCCUGGGGAGUACGGUCGCAAGAUUAAAACUCAAAGGAAUUGACGGGGACCCGCACAAGCGGUGGAUGAUGUGGAUUAAUUCGAUGCAACGCGAAAAACCUUACCUACCCUUGACAUGGCUGGAAUCCCCGAGAGAUUGGGGAGUGCUCGAAAGAGAACCAGUACACAGGUGCUGCAUGGCUGUCGUCAGCUCGUGUCGUGAGAUGUUGGGUUAAGUCCCGCAACGAGCGCAACCCUUGUCAUUAGUUGCUACGAAAGGGCACUCUAAUGAGACUGCCGGUGACAAACCGGAGGAAGGUGGGGAUGACGUCAAGUCCUCAUGGCCCUUAUGGGUAGGGCUUCACACGUCAUACAAUGGUACAUACAGAGCGCCGCCAACCCGCGAGGGGGAGCUAAUCGCAGAAAGUGUAUCGUAGUCCGGAUUGUAGUCUGCAACUCGACUGCAUGAAGUUGGAAUCGCUAGUAAUCGCGGAUCAGCAUGUCGCGGUGAAUACGUUCCCGGGUCUUGUACACACCGCCCGUCACACCAUGGGAGCGGGUUUUACCAGAAGUAGGUAGC
rnacentral:rRNA from 1 species